rnacentral:lncRNA from 1 species
CCUCCUUUUAAAACAAUGUCAAACAUCUUAUCCACGUGAGAGGAUAAAGAUGAGUAAUUGUACAUUUGAAUUCAAAUCAAAUUUUGAAUUCAAAUGGAAAUCAAUUUAUCCCUAUCCACUAAGAGCAUGAGAAGAGGAGGGUGUGGCUUAAUUUGUGCAUGAGUGAUUUCAUGAGAAACAUUUUCUCGUGUAAUAAAUGGGGCACUAAAAGAGGAUAAGGUCAAGAUGCUA